UACAUAGGGGGCAAGCGUUGUCCGGAAUCAUUGGGCGUAAAGCGCGUGUCGGCGGUUCGGUAAGUCGGCUGUGAAAGUCCAGGGCUCAACCCUGGGAUGCCGGUCGAUACUGCCGGACUAGAGUUCGGAAGAGGCGAGUGGAAUUCCCGGUGUAGCGGUGAAAUGCGCAGAUAUCGGGAGGAACACCAAUGGCGAAGGCAGCUCGCUGGGACGUUACUGACGCUGAGACGCGAAAGCGUGGGGAGCAAACAGG
rnacentral:rRNA from 1 species